UGGUGCCAGCAGCCGCGGUAAUUCCAGCUCCAAUAGCGUAUAUUAAAGUUGUUGCGGUUAAAAAGCUCGUAGUCGAAUUUGUGUCUCGCGCCGCCGGUUCAUCGUCCGCGGUGUUAACUGGCGAGUCGCGAGACGUCCUGCCGGUGGACUUAGCCCGCGAGGGCGGUCCAACUCAAUCCUGCCGCGGUGCUCUUCGCUGAGUGUCGAGGUGGGCCGGCACGUUUACUUUGAACAAAUUAGAGUGCUUAAAGCAGGCUAAAACUUCGCCUGAAUACUGUGUGCAUGGAAUAAUGGAAUAGGACCUCGGUUCUAUUUUGUUGGUUUUCGGAACCCCGAGGUAAUGAUUAAUAGGAACGGAUGGGGGCAUUCGUAUUGCGACGUUAGAG
rnacentral:rRNA from 1 species